rnacentral:misc_RNA from 1 species
GCAAACUUGGUCAUUUAGAGGAAGUAAAAGUCGUAACAAGGUUUCCGUAGGUGAACCUGCGGAAGGAUCAUUAGCAACGCCGGAAGGCCGGAUCGCCCGUGAAGCCCCUCCUUAUUUGGUGGUCUGCUCCGCGUGGCCCGGCGCCUCUGACCCCAUCUGCUUACCUUACCGUGUUGCCUCGGUGGGACGACAAGCCCAGGCUUGCCCCCCGGUCCCGCUUGGGGGUGUGCCCGCCAGAGGACCGUGGGUUGUCGAGCUUUAGGCGAAUGUUACGGUGGCUCUGAUCGGGAUCGAUAUGGCGGAUUGACGGAAAACUCUCAACAACGGAUCUCUUGGUUCCGGCAUCGAUGAAGAACGCAGC